UCGAGAAUCUUCCGCAAUGGGCGCAAGCCUGACGGAGCGACGCCGCGUGCGGGAUUAAGGCCUUCGGGUUGUAAACCGCUGUCAGAGAGGCGGAAAUGCGUAGUGGCUAUCCAUUACGUUUGACCUAAUCUCAGAGGAAGUGCAGGCUAAGUUCGUGCCAGCAGCCGCGGUAAUACGAACUGCACAAACGUUAUUCGGAAUCACUGGGCUUAAAGAGUCCGUAGGCGGUCUAGAAGGUGAGGUGUGAAAUCCCACAGCCCAACUGUGGAACUGCGCUUCAAACCGCUAGGCUUGAGGGAGACAGGGGUGAGCGGAACAGAUGGUGGAGCGGUGAAAUGCGUUGAUAUCAUCUGGAACACCGGUGGCGAAGGCGGCUCACUGGGUCUCUUCUGACGCUGAGGGACGAAAGCUAGGGGAGCGAACGGGAUUAGAUACCCGCGUAGUCC
rnacentral:rRNA from 1 species